rnacentral:lncRNA from 1 species
AAUUCAGAAUAUGGAAGAGAAAAAUAUUUAAAGAUUUUUGGUGAAAGUCCCAUAUUUUUUGGAUUAAAAAUGAAAUUAAUAUGAAUUAAACAAAAUAAAAAAAAUAAUUUUAAUUCAGAAUAUGGAAGAGAAAAAUAUUUAAAGAUUUUUGGUGAAAGUCCCAUAUUUUUUGGAUUAAAAAUGAAAUUAAUAUGAAUUAAACAAAAUAAAAGGAUUAAAUGAAAAUUCGAAAAAUAAAAAGAAAUUAGAAAAAAACAAGGGCCAUCAGAUCUCCCUCAUUAAUUGAGGUGGCAGAUCUGAUGGCCACACACGCGCUAUCCAUGGUGGACACAAGUCAAAGUGAUGUACGCGUGGUAAUUCAAAC